rnacentral:misc_RNA from 1 species
UUGAAUGGCCUCUUGGCCUUCACCCCUCUACCCUCGUGGAUGGAGACGUGCCUUCGGCCCUGGCGGCCGGCUUUUAUGCUGCAGAUUUUGUCCGACGUGGUUAUUAGAAGUGA